GGAGUGCAGGUCGAUUGGUAUUUCUCAACAAUUUGGUCAACAUCAAUGUUCUUAAAGGCAACCAGAAGCAGGACGGAAACAAAGAGAGAGAAAUCAGCAUCUACAUGGAUCUAAGCAGUUAGGAUAAACUUGACUAGACAUGCAGUUAGAAGACUCGUUGAUUUGGCCUGUGUACUUAUUAUGAUUGUUCAAUGAACCAUCCAAACCCCAAGAAGUAUUUCUGCUAGCUGGAAUGUCAGUGACAUCAGGACACAUACGGUUGUCAUUCUGAUAGCCUCCAUGGAUUGGUGCUGUUCUCGUAUUCUCAUGACUCUGACAAUUAACAUUGACAGUUUUUCCAGGUUGUACAUAGUUCCUACUAGAAUUUUGUAGACUUGAAAGAGCAUCCCAAGCCUGUCAGGAAUUGUUUCAUCAGAAGUUAUUGCAAACUGUAGAAGUCUCAAAUAAGAACAUUUACAUUGGCAAACUACUCACUUUCAUAUAACAGUUAUACUACUAUACCUUGUCAAA